rnacentral:rRNA from 1 species
GACGUAGGGUGCAAGCGUUGUCCGGAUUUAUUGGGCGUAAAGAGCUCGUAGGCGGCUUGUUGCGUCGACUGUGAAAACCCGCGGCUUAACCGCGGGCUUGCAGUUGAUACGGGCAGGCUAGAGUUCGGUAGGGGAGACUGGAAUUCCUGGUGUAGCGGUGAAAUGCGCAGAUAUCAGGAGGAACACCGGUGGCGAAGGCGGGACUCUGGGCCGAUACUGACGCUGAGGAGCGAAAGCUAGGGGAGCAAACGGG